rnacentral:rRNA from 1 species
UACGGAAGGGGCAAGCGUUGUUCGGAAUCAUUGGGCGUAAAGGGCGCGUAGGUGGUUCUGUAUGUCUACCGUGAAAGCGUACGGCUCAACCGUAUUUUGUCGGUGGAAACUGCAGGACUCGAGGCUGGGAGGGGCUGGUGGAAUUCCCUGUGUAGCGGUGAAAUGCGUAGAGAUGGGGGAGAACACUCGUGGCGAAGGCGGCCAGCUAGACCAGUUCUGACACUGAGGCGCGAUAGCGUGGGGAGCAAACAGG